rnacentral:rRNA from 1 species
GACGAACGCUGGCGGCGUGCUUAACACAUGCAAGUCGAGCGGUAAGGCCUCUUUCGGGGGGUACACGAGCGGCGAACGGGUGAGUAACACGUGGGUGACCUGCCUUCAGCUCUGGGAUAAGCUUGGGAAACUGGGUCUAAUACCGGAUAUGACUGUCUGCCGCAUGGUGGGUGGUGGAAAGUUCUUGGGCUUUGGUCUGGGUUCGGCUGGGGAUGGGCCUGCGGCCUAUCAGCUUGUUGGUGGGGUGAUGGCCUACCAAGGCGACGACGGGUAGCCGGCCUGAGAGGGCGACCGGCCACACUGGGACUGAGACACGGCCCAGACUCCUACGGGAGGCAGCAGUGGGGAAUAUUGCGCAAUGGGCGGAAGCCUGACGCAGCGACGCCGCGUGGGGGAUGACGGCCUUCGGGUUGUAAACCUCUUUCGCCAUCAACGAAGGUUCUGUGGUUGUGAGGCUGCAGGGUUGGCGGUAGGUGGAGAAGAAGCACCGGCCAACUACGUGCCAGCAGCCGCGGUAAUACGUAGGGUGCGAGCGUUGUCCGGAAUUAUUGGGCGUAAAGAGCUCGUAGGCGGUGUGUCGCGUCGGCCGUGAAAACCUGCAGCUUAACUGUGGGCGUGCGGUCGAUACGGGCAUCACUGGAGUUCGGCAGGGGAGACUGGAAUUCCUGGUGUAGCGGUGAAAUGCGCAGAUAUCAGGAGGAACACCGGUGGCGAAGGCGGGUCUCUGGGCCGAUACUGACGCUGAGGAGCGAAAGCGUGGGGAGCGAACAGGAUUAGAUACCCUGGUAGUCCACGCCGUAAACGGUGGGCGCUAGGUGUGGGGACCAUUCCACGGUCUCUGUGCCGCAGCUAACGCAUUAA